AUCGAACAGUUUAACAGAAAAACUGUCGAGGUUACUUCUUCAUUGAUGUAACCUUGCACUUAUUUGUUUGGUUUUUGUGUAAAAUUAUCAGUAUAUAAGCAUCCAGCUCUAAACCAAGAUCAUAGUCUGCGAUUAACUUAUCUACCAUUUUCACUUCUUCAUCUCAAUCAAUAACAAUCUCCAAAAUGCCAGCUCCCUGCGAACCGUGCAAAGAUACCUGCAAAGACGCAGCUGACUGCAAGGAUAACUGCAGCACUGACAACUGUGGUCCUGGUGCCUGUUCCACUACAAGUGGUGGUUGCUGUUAAUUUGUGUUGGAAGUUCAAAUUGAUUCUACCAUUUUAAGAACCCAAAUAAUAUUCUAGUUUGUAAAUGCUUGCAAUAAAUUUUUGGUGCUCCUA